AAGUUGUACCAUCUUGGAGGAUAGUAUUCAGCUGUUGGUCAUGUGUCACCUCCAUUAAAUCUUGCCACCAAACUGACUUGUUCCCUCUAAUACCUUCCACCAUUGAUCUCCAUCCACCAUACUUGGAAUCCAAUAUCUUGGACCAUAACUUGUUGCUUUGCUGAAGCAUCUCCCACCUCCAUUUUCCAAGUAAUGCCUUGUUGAAAGCCCUUAUGUCUUUUAUACCCAAACCCCCUUUUUCUUUUGGAAGGCAAACUGUUUUCCAUUUCACC
rnacentral:misc_RNA from 1 species